UUAUUUUCCAACGUACAGGGUGAAGUUGUCCUUUGUUUAGGAAACCCCUCCCCUUUUGUCUCUCACUGGCCGCCAACUCUUCCCUACACACACACACACUCUCUCUCUCUCUCCACAAAUCGGCACCCACCAGCAAUGUUCGGCGAUUCAGAGCACGUUUCUCCCCAUAAAAGAGGCAUAAGAAAUUGACCAAAGGCUUUAAAACCUAUUCCUGUGAUAAUGCGAUGCAAGAGCUGUGGUCGGGUCAAGUUGCCACAUUUCUUUUGUUGCAGUGGAAAUAGGAAAGUGUCGAUGAGCAAAAUGACUCAACCCGAUGAUCAAAUUCUUGAAUGCAGGUUUUUAUCAAGCUUGCUCUUUUUCCCACCAGUAUGAUUUUCUACUAAAUGUUUGUUAUUGUGAAAACAUCAUUCAUUGAAGUUGGGAAUGUGGAUAAUUUAAUUGUUUAAAUAGGUUAGAAGGGUUCUCUGCAAACUGGGAGAUAUAAAAGCAGAAAUGCAGAGUAUUGAAAUGUACACCUUUCCCCUGGUAGAAAAGGGUUUAAUUUUCUAAGUUG